CCUACGGUGGGCAGCAGUGGGGAAUAUUGCACAAUGGGCGAAACUCUGAUGCAGCGAUGCCGCGUGAGUGAAGACGUCCUUCGUUAUGUAAAGCUCUAUCAGUAGGGAAGUAAAUGACGGUACCUGUGUCAGUAGCCCCGGCGAACUCCGUGCCAGCAGCCGCUGCAAUACGGCGGGGGCCGCUGUUAACCGGAUUUACUGGGUGUAAAGGGGGCGUAGGCGGCAGUGCAAGUCAGGAGUUAAAGGGGGGGGCUCAACCCCCGGACUGCUGUGGAGACUGGACGGCUGGAGUGCAGGAGAGGUAAGUGGAAUGCCUGGUGUAGCGGUGAAAUGCGUAGGUAUUAGGAGGAACACCAGUGGCGAAGGCGGCUUACCGGACUAUAACUGACGCUGAGGCACGAAAGCGUGGGGAGCAAACAGGAUUAGAUACCCUGGUAGUC
rnacentral:rRNA from 1 species